rnacentral:rRNA from 1 species
UACGGAGGAUGCGAGCGUUAUCCGGAUUUAUUGGGUUUAAAGGGUGCGUAGGCGGGUUAUCAAGUCAGCGGUAAAAUCGAGGGGCUCAACCCCUUUAAGCCGUUGAAACUGACGGUCUUGAGUGGGCGAGAAGUAUGCGGAAUGCGUGGUGUAGCGGUGAAAUGCAUAGAUAUCACGCAGAACUCCGAUUGCGAAGGCAGCGUACCGGCGCCCGACUGACGCUGAAGCACGAAAGCGUGGGUAUCGAACAGG